rnacentral:rRNA from 1 species
GACGAACGCUGGCGGCGUGCUUAACACAUGCAAGUCGAACGGAAAGGCCCUGCUUUUGUGGGGUGCUCGAGUGGCGAACGGGUGAGUAACACGUGAGUAACCUGCCCUUGACUUUGGGAUAACUUCAGGAAACUGGGGCUAAUACCGGAUAGGAGCUCCUGCUGCAUGGUGGGGGUUGGAAAGUUUCGGCGGUUGGGGAUGGACUCCCGGCUUAUCAGCUUGUUGGUGGGGUAGUGGCUUACCCAGGCUUUGACGGGUAGCCGGCCUGAGAGGGUGACCGGCCACAUUGGGACUGAGAUACGGCCCAGACUCCUACGGGAGGCAGCAGUGGGGAAUAUUGCACAAUGGGCGGAAGCCUGAUGCAGCAACGCCGCGUGCGGGAUGACGGCCUUCGGGUUGUAAACCGCUUUCGCCUGUGACGAAGCGUGAGUGACGGUAAUGGGUAAAGAAGCACCGGCUAACUACGUG